ACUCAUUCCACAGCUCUCAUGUUCUGCACCUCAGGAGGGAAUUCAGCCUCAGUGAUGUCCAUGAGGCCUGUCCCAGGCUCUCUAUCUUCCCUGCUACAUCUUCACAACAGACAGAGACAGCCUAUGCCAGCCUCCAUGCCCGGGACCCUGCCCAACCCCACCAUGCCAGGAUCUUCCGCCGUCUUGAUGCCAAUGGAGAGACAAAUGUCAGUGAACUCCAACCUCCUGGGAAUGCAAGGUCCAAAUCUCAGCAACCCCUGUGCUUCUCCCCAAGUCCAGCCAAUGCAUUCAGAAGCCAAAAUGGUAAAUAACAGUUAUAAUCAUCCUUCUGUUAUGGCAUGACUUUUUCUUUUGAUUUCUGCUCCGACUUCCAAAGUUCAGUUGUCAGGUAGACGGCUCCAUCUUUGUUUCAGUGAAUAAGUCUUUCUGUGGAAAGGCAGUGCAGGGCUUGGCUUUCUCUUUGAGGCUAUUUGUUACUGAACCUACUGAACCUUGGCAUUGGGUGCCUGUGUAACAAGCAUUGGAUCAGCUUGUGGCCUCAGUGAAAGGGACAUUUAGAAGUUCGGGGAGACCCAAAGGAGUUGAGGUGGGACACACCCAAGUGUGUGUAUGUUUGCUCAAAAAGUGAAAUUAACGAAAACAAUCCAGAGUUUUUCUCCUUCGAGGUGGUUACAAUUUCAGUGCUACUCUUCCUGUCACCAUAGCCACCAAAACAGAUGUGUGACUUUCAAGCACACACUAUUAUGAAAAUAUUUUUCAUUUUUUUGUUAGAGUCGUCAGACAUGACGUUGAUUUGAAAGGACCAGAACCUUGUUUUCUCCAGGGGUCACUGCAGCUCAGACCGAAAUGCCUGAUUUUAGGUGACAGCCUUCAGUGACUUUUAAUGUAUGAGACUGAUAAGCAGUAAGGUCAGUCUUUCCAAUCCAAGUGAUAAAUUCAUGCAUCCAUAUUCUACUAAAUAUUAAUAAAAGCAAUGCUUGUCAGUCUUGGCAAUAUAAAGUCAACUUGCUAGUUGUAUUUGGUGGAAUUACUUGAAGUAGUUCAUUCAGUUUUCUUGUAAAUUCUGACACCAGUUAAUAAGGUAUCUGAUGACAACAAAAUACAGCAAAGUUUUUAGUAUCUGAUAUUGGAGAAGGGGAGCUUUUGUUAGAAGUUGAAGAUUUGUUUGGUUGGCUGAAUGACAGCAUCGGGGACCGUGUCUGAUGGCUGGUGGGAGGAUGUUAUUGACAUCUCUAAAAAUGAGCUAUCAAAACCCAAAGAUUUGGUUCUCGGUGGCAGCAAUUUUUUUUUUUUUUUUUUUUUUUUAAUGCCUGCUUUGGUCACUUUCUCUUGGAAAGUUCUCUCAUUUGACUUGCAGCUUCUUAACCCAAGGAAGCAACUGAACUCCCAGUGUUGGCUGCAUUGGGCAAAUAAAAUCUGUGGUUGGGAGAGUUCUCUUUGCUGUGCCACAGUCUCUGUGACGUGCCAGAUGGCACCGGGAUCUUCAGCAAAGCUCGUUAAAUCUUUUUGGAAUUGGCAAAUAUUUUUUCAACCCAAGCCCUGCUGAGCCAAACCAAAUACUUAUUGGAAGAGUCAAGUCCAAACUGGCAUCUGUUUUGGAGACCAGAGUAAUGCCAUUUACAUUUUUUGAAAGGAAAAUUAAAAAAAAAAAAAUGAGCUGUGAAGGUACUUAAGAAAAAAACAAAAUUAACAUUCAUGUGUAUGAAUGUGUUCUGGGUCUGAGCAUCCGAGGCUACUCCUGCAGCUGGGUUAUUUCUGAAUCAUCUUGUUUGGUUCAGGGUCUGUAUCCCUUUUGAGGGACCUCCCAGACAAACUUUAGGUGGAUGCAGAAACACAAGUCCACACCAGAUUUCCCUGCCAGCUGAGUUUCACUGGAGGUUUAUGCCACCACUCAACUGAAGAAGUGUCCUACCCCUUCCUGCUGGCAAAGAAGAAAAAUGCUUCCAAAGAGAGGACAGGUUUAUGGCUAUUUAUAUACAAAUGAAAUACAAACAGGAUGUGGCAGAUUAAUAGUGAAUUAUAUCAGCAGAAGACAAAAGGGAAUUGGUCUGUACCUAUAAAAAUAGUGUUAUCCCGCAAAUGUUUGUCGAGUUGAAGUUUGAGCAAGCGUACUACUCUACUGACUCAUGUUCUACGUGAAUGAAUGUUUCCAGAUCCAUGAUGUCUGGGUGGAUGAACUGUACCAUGGAGUUGGGAUUUAAGGAGCACAGCUUUCCCCUCUGCUCCAAGCUCCCACUCCUAACCCCAUUAUUGCCAAUACAAAUUUGGAUUAUUGUUGAUCCAGAGGGGAAAAUGGUUCUAUCAACCGCUUAUAUUUUGGAAUAAUAACAUUUCUAGUAGCUGGAAAAGUGCUAAGUGAAUGCUGUUUAGUACAUGACUCAGCAGCUCAGUUUUUAUUUCUGCUCGCUUUAUUCGCUGCAGACAUCUCUCAUUCCCGUCUCCUAACUGUACAGUAUUUUCUAGCAGCUUUGGGUCGCUUAGAUGAAAAGCUUUUAUAAACGACAAAGUAGAGAAAAAGAAAAAA
rnacentral:lncRNA from 1 species